UUAGCUUUAUGUCAGCGCUCCAGUGGCUCCCAGUUCUGGCAGCCCGUGAUCCAGCUUCUCCCCGUGCUACGCAUUGGCACGUCCAUCUCGGCUGGCUCUGGAUCUGCGACCCUGUUUUGGUUCGAUCGAUGGGUUGGCGACUCCUCCCAGGCUGCACGUUUCCCUGAUCUUUUUGCCAUCCUGGUGGAUCCUAGGAUCUCUGUCGAGUCGGCCCUUAUUGACUUAGGGCGUCUUGCUUUCUGGCGUCCCUUCGGCCCUCUGGAGACGGCCGCUUGGGACUCCCUUCUACAGGACAUCGCCCUUCUCCCGAUGGAUGUCGAGGGCGCCUCUGACUCCGUCUCUUGGCGCCUAGAGCCCUCUGGACGCUUCUCCACAAAGUCCUUAUACUCGGCCAUCACUCCGUCGAUGGCCCCUGAGCCCUUUAGCCUGAUCUAGGAUAUUCGCCUGCCCCUGAAGAUCAGGAUCUUCCUGUGGCAGUGGAUGCAAGGACGCCUUCCCUUUGGGAUCGAGGUCCUCAAGCACAAUGGACCUGGCGAUGACAUGUGUCUCAUGUGUGGCACGGUGGAGGAUGCUAACCACAUCUUCUUCUCCUGCUCCACAGCACAGUUCCUGUGGUUCUACUUUCGUGAAACGGUCGGUGGACAAUGGUAUAAUACCAACUUACUUGACCUGUUUGCGGAGAUCCACGCCUCUCCCCCUCGCCACCGCCAUAUUAGAUGGCUGUGCAUCGGGGUCCUUGCUUGGACGCUUUGGACGAUUCGCAACAAGUUGGUUAUUCAGAAGACUCCUCUCCACCGUGCGACUGACGCGGUUUUCAGACUGUGUGGUUACUUGCAGCUCUGGUGGCCGCUUAGCCGCCCCCAGGACCGGGACGCCAUCAACACCCUCCUCGCCGAUAUUUGCUCGAUGGCCUUCCGCUUGGAGCCUCCGCCGCCGCCCCCUCCCCUGGAGCCCGAUUAG
rnacentral:rRNA from 1 species